rnacentral:rRNA from 1 species
UACGAAUGGGGCAAGCGUUGUUCGGAAUCACUGGGCUUAAAGCGUACGCAGGCGGCCAUGCAAGUCAGAAGUGAAAUCCCCGGGCUUAACCCGGGAAUUGCUUUUGAAACUGCACGGCUAGAAUCCCGGAGAGGUUGGCAGAAUUCCGAGUGUAGAGGUGAAAUUCGCAGAUAUUCGGAGGAAUACCAGUGGCGCAAGCGGCCAACUGGACGGGCAUUGACGCUCAGGUACGAAAGCGUGGGGAGCAAACAGG